rnacentral:rRNA from 1 species
ACUCCUACGGGAGGCAGCAGUGGGGAAUCUUGGACAAUGGGCGCAAGCCUGAUCCAGCCAUGCCGCGUGAGUGAUGAAGGCCUUAGGGUCGUAAAGCUCUUUCGCCAGGGAUGAUAAUGACAGUACCUGGUAAAGAAACCCCGGCUAACUCCGUGCCAGCAGCCGCGGUAAUACGGAGGGGUUAGCGUUGUUCGGAAUUACUGGGCGUAAAGCGCGCGUAGGCGGAUCAGAAAGUUGGGGUGAAAUCCCGGGGCUCAACCCCGGAACGGCCUCCAAAACUCCUGGUCUUGAGUUCGAGAGAGGUGAGUGGAAUUCCGAGUGUAGAGGUGAAAUUCGUAGAUAUUCGGAGGAACACCAGUGGCGAAGGCGGCUCACUGGCUCGAUACUGACGCUGAGGUGCGAAAGUGUGGGGAGCAAACAGGAUUAGAUACCCUGGUAGCUCGAUGU